AGAAGCUGUCAAGUGUCAAACUGUCAAGUUUGUGUUUUGUUUCUGUUUGUGCUGGUUUUAAAAAACUUACUCACUAAAUUACUGAAAGUCUAGAAUAUUCUAUGGACCUGAUCAGUACUCAUUGCAACGACUGUUGUAAGAAUACACAACAAGGGUUCACUGCGUAUUCUGCUACACAUUGAAGCAAAGAAGGCAGCUUUAAUGUACCUCUAUGUCUUGAUUGCUUCAGAACAGAAAAAAAAACCAAAAGUACUGCUAAGGGAGUUACUACAAGCCGAAGGGUUUUUGCCUGAAGAGGAGAAGCUCUAUGUGACCGAGCAAGAGGUCAUUGAAAUUUCUUCUUCAUCUCCAUCGUCUUCGUCAGAGAAAUGCAAAAAUUAAUAAUUAAUGAUA